CUCAGUUUUGUUUUAAAAAUUAACAUUUAUUACAUAAAUAGUGAAAUUAAUUAAAAAAAAGUAAUUUUACUCUUAUAGAGGAAUCUUGAUGCCGUUACUAAAAAUCCGAUCAUAUAAAACCAUUAUUUUAAAUGACAGAUAUGAAAUCAAACGUGUCUUAAUGUUUAAAUCUUUACAAUAUCAUUUUACGUAAUCUGAAUUUACCGAUUGACGAAUCGACGAACGUUUCUACUGUGGCACAGUAAAGAAUUAAUUUCACGGCUUGGCGAGUCCGAGAUUCGAUCUCGCAAGUGAAAGAGCCACGUAUUAGUCAGACUACUAUCGCCUGUGAUUGAGUCUGUUCACUCUUACUCGAUGAAUAACGACAAUGUUUUAGCGCGUCCAAGUACUCCGACACUUUGCACACAGCAAUGGGCCUUCUAUAAUAAACCAUUAGUCAUAAGCCGCAAGCAAAUUGACCAGUCAUAAUCGACUAUUUUGAAACAUAAUUGAUAGUGGUUGGUCAACCUGCCUAUGAGUUAUGACUAAUAGCUUAUUGUAGAAGGCCCAUUAAGCUUAAUCUAAUGUGCUUUUUACUUCCUGUUACUUGUUCUCUUUUUCUGACUUAAGGUUUGAAUCGGAAAAAAAUAAAGAGAAAGAAAUAAAGAACACAAUCUUUGUUUCUUUGGAAAUUAUAGAUCAAGCUUAAGGGCUACGUGUACACCACGCCACCCCCGACACUCGAGUUACCAAUGUACAGUAUUCUAUCGACCCGUACAUCGGUACUGCAGUUUCGUCUAUGGAUUAUUUUUCUGGCUAUGUAUCCCGUUAUCCUGGUCCGGAAAGUCGGUUUGACGUUGGCAUAUUAACAGCAGUGUUAUUAGAUGAUUAAAAUUAGCUAUUAGAUAUUAGUUAGUUAUUAAUUAGUUAUUAGUUACAUAUUAGUUAGCUAUUAAUUAGUUAUUAGAUGAUUAGAUAAUUAGAUUAGUUAGUGUAGUUAGAUGAUUAAAAAUUGUAAUACUUUUAUUUUGAUGAGUUUCAAGAAGUAUUCCGCAUCUCCAAUAACAAGAUAUAUUUUUUGAGAAUUACUAAAAACUAAUUUUUUUAUUGAAUAGGAGAUGCGUUGCAAAAUUCACCGGUAAAAUGUAAUAUAAUUUUUAAUUAUUUAAUUGUGCUAUCAAUGAUAAAAGAGCAAAAAAAAGGAGAAGGAAGGGGAAGAGAGAGCACAAGCGUAUUUAUAACGGUCAAAGGCCAAAGGCAUGUUAAUAGAUUUUUCUCUGUUAGAAUAUAAACGAUGAGGUUGUCCCUUGAGGGAACAACAUGAUGGAACAAGGUGACGUCAUUAUUCAAAAGAUUUUUUUUGUUAUUGACAUUCAUGUGUGCAUAUAAUAUGUGCAUUCAAUAGGUAACUUAAUACCACAAGAGUUUACUACAAUUCCACUUAACGCUUGCGUCGAUCGCUACGUCAUUCUAUUCUUGUUUCCGACAGGAAUGUUACACAAAAAUGGAAUGAUGCCGCGGUCGACAUGAGCAUCAAAUACAAGAACGCACCUUAAACACUCGGUAAGUUUUAGAUAGAAUCUAAUACAAACCAAUCAGAUCCAAAUGUUCACUCAGCAAGCAGUUGCAGUGUUGGAUGCAACCAAUGGCUGCAUUCAGCAGAGAAAGCUGCUUUGCAACUAUUGUAAAAUUCGUGAAUCUGAUUGGUACAUGCUUUUGGAUUCAACCAAAAUUAAGAACACACUCCAAUCAGAUUCACGAAUUUUACAACAGUUGCAAAGCAGCUUUCUCUGCUGAACACAGCCAAUGUCACAGGCAGCGGCACUCGAUGACGCGCGGGUGGUCGAUGACGUCAGAGGGAAACACCCUUGCAACCGGAGGGCCAGUGAACUCAUUGCACUAGGGAGAGCGAGGUCACAGAAAGUGGUGGUGGAGAGGCGAGGUGCGAAACCAGGGCAAAAGGGGCAGAAGACAGCGUAAGAAUAACCGGCUAAGGAGCGUACCGUCGAGUAAUGCAGCGGCGCUCGAUGACGCGCGGGUGGUUGAUGACGUCAGAGAGAAACACGCUUGCAUCGGCGGGCCAGUGAACUCGUUGCGCCAGGGAGAGCGAGGUCACGGAAGGUGGUGGCGGAAUGAGAGACGAGGUGCGAAAUCAGGGCAGAAGGAGCAGAAGAUAGUGUAAGAAUAACCGACUAAUGCGCGUGCCGUCGAACGUACAUAGAGUAACCGCGACGAGGCUGAUGAUAUCCCUCGUCGCGAAUCGGGAAUAUACAUUCAACAGCGACUGCUUUUCCGACGGCGCUGGCGAUAUCAAAUUAUCGACCUUUACGUAUAAAUAGAGCGCACCCGUAAAUAUCCGAAAGGUCAAUGUUGGUCGCGUUCUGAACCAUCGAGCGAAAGUUCCGGCGCUUAUUGCAAAAGAUGCAAUUGCAGGCAGUUAACAAUCAUGUAAAUAAAGGCUAUCGUGAUGUCCAAUCAAAAUAGAAACAAAUAACUCAUAAAGACAAGGAAGAACGAAACGCUGAUUUUGUGUACGGAAAAUUAGUUGACGCACUGAAAAAAACGCGUCUACCUGUAAUACAAACCAAUAAGUCUCGAUCGAGAGAUAAUCCGAUAUUAUAUGUUGUAUAUUAGGCGAAAGUGUCUCUCUGUAAUUCGGAAUCAAUUUUACUCAAUCGAUUACUUAAUUCUGUAAUUUCUGGUGCCUUUGGUCCCUAAUUAAUUCGUAAUAAAUUUUUAUCAAUCGAUUAA